ACUAUUUGAGCGUGACCUUGCAGGAGGAAGAGCCCUGAACUUGCGCCGGGGGCUCAGCGCGCCUCCUCGGCCGUCCCAACCGCUGCGGCCCGAGUCUCUGCUUCCUCCUCGUGAAGGUCCCCGCCGCUCCACGCCCACCCCGCGCGGGGCUCGGGGACGCCCAGUGAGGGGUCACGUGAGGGCCCAGAAGCGCGCGAGUGGGGGGACCGGGCCGGCCACAGCUUCCGCCGGCCCAGCCGGCCCCGCGGGACACAACUUGACCCUGAAGGCAGGGACGAACUCGCGGUGUCGCCUUCGCUGGGAUCCCACGCGUGUUUCUGGGGACCCCUCGCCUCUCCCUCGCACGUCCCCUCAGGUCCCCACGCCUAGCCAGUUUGCGCCCAGAUGGUUUCCCCGGAGACAGCGAGCGCUCACCCCCGCCCCGCGGUUGUCUGUGUUGGGAAGAAGAGGGGGACGGAAGGAGGCGCGGAGGAGGAAAACGGCAGUGCCCUGUCGCCGCCGGCGCCCUGGCAGAUUCCACUUCCUUGGCUGGAAACGCCAGUGGCAGGCAGCCGGUAACUCUGAGGACUGUGCCGAGCAAAGGGACGAGUCUGCCUGGGGACCGGGGAUGGACAGCCCCUUGGCCUUCUGAGAUGAAGAAACUGAGGCUCAGAGAGGUUAAGGAGCUCCACUUAGGUCACAUAGCAGGUAAGUGGCAGAACUGCGAUUUGCACUCAGUUCUCACCUUACUCCUUUGCCUGAAACUGUUGACUUGAUUGUCCCCUUGCACCAUGGGGUGUGAGCUCUCUCGGGGAGGCUUGUGACUUUUAUGUUUUGAUAAUCUGCCAAUUCCUGGGUCCACAGGGAAGGCCUGCAGGGGAAGACAUUGGGGAAGGGGAGAUGGUGUCUGAUCAGCACAGACCCCGAGCCCCAGCACCCCGGCUUCAGCAAUGAGCCCCCUGGCUGAUGGAAGCCCAAGGCCCCUCACACGGUCCAGGCUGUCUAAGAACCAGAGCCCUGGUGACGGCCCCGGCAUGCCCUGCCCUCCCUGCCGCUUGCCUCACAUCCUGCCCCAGGUGCAGAGCGGCCCGGUGAGCAGUUACACAGUGGCAUUUAUAGUAUUUUGGGUUUAGAUGUUUUUGCAGAAACCAGAGGAAGUGUGUAGGCUGAGUUCUGCCUUCCCCUCCCCAGGGACAGCAGAUCUGCUCCUCAGGGAGGGCACUGGGACAGGAAACUCCUUAACACAAAGGCCCGAGGUUGGAGCCAGUGCUCUACCCAUGCCCUGUGCCUGGCUGAUCGGAGGUUGCUUUUGUGUUCAGCAGUUUCCCACCUGAGGACUCCGAGCCCCAGGAAUGACCAGGCCUCCCUCCUGCUGGGAUGCACAAACCACAGGGAACCUUUGCCCCCUGGCUCUGAAGGCCUCACUGUGCCACCGCUCUCUGUCCCCUCUGCAAAUAUUUGUUGAGGGCUUUGCCAAUCUUCUCAGCAUGGGGAGAGCAAGUAGAGCAAACAGAUGAACUCCCUGCCCUCUUCAAAGACAGAGGCAGGUAACCAAGUAAUUCCAUAUGCAAUUGAGUGUCAUUUCAUGCUUAAAGCUGUGUCUUCGCUCCUUUCCUCGUCGCUGACACCCACGACUCAAAGAAGGAAGGUUUAUGUUGGCUCCCAGUUUGUAGAGGUUUUGUUCCAUGGUCAGCUAAUUCCAAAGCAGGGGAGCCUGGCAGGCCAGGAAGCAGCAAGCAAUGAAGGCAGGAGGGAGGGAGAGAGAUGCUUCUGGCAGACUCACCCCAACCCACCUAUGAGCACGUGAGACUUUGGAGGGACACAGCUGUGAAGGGAACUGUCCUACAGCAAGAGAGAGUGACAGUGAUACUGCUUAAGGGUGGGCAGGGCAGGCCUUGCUAGGAAGAGCAGUUGGGCAGAGGCAUGAGCACCACGAAGGAGCGAGCCGUGGAGCUCAGUGGUGGGUAAGUCAGUUCUCGAGGAGGAAAGUGUGUGCCAAGGCCUUGAGGGGGGAUAGACUGGGAGCCCCGUCCACUGUGCUCUUUGAGUUUGAUUCUGUGCGUUUGUCCUUCCCACUCUCCCACCAGCAGAGCCGCUUCUCCUUUGUUUCCUUCCACCUGUUAUCUCUGUUGUGCUUGUAGGCAGGGGCUGAGGUUGUAUAGAAAAAAAAAAUCAGACAUCCGAACAGGUUAGAGGAAAGAUGUGUUUCUAACAGGAAACGACUGGCUUUCAUCUUCUGCACGUGCCUCUCCGGUGAAAUUUGAAAUAGCUUCUUACCCUUGCCUUGCAUUGAUCUCCAGAUGUCCUGGCCAGUGAAUUUUCGG
rnacentral:lncRNA from 1 species